GCCAAACUGAGGGCUGCCGUGAAGCUCCAAGGUGAGCAAAUCCGCCAAUAAGCGCAAGACCCACCAAGGUAGAGGAGGAACUUUGUCACAGUACAUAUCAGCAGAGGGAUCAGACGCCCACUGGCAGGGAAGAACAGCAUGAAGUCAUCUGAGUCUGGGGACAAAAUAGUCAGUUUGGAAAGAUAUAAGGGGAGAGAAGAAGCCGUCAUGGCAUCCAUCACUGAACAGACAAAAGGGGCCAGAGCUUUUGCAAGCUGAGAAAGUCUCUGGGAACUGAAUAUAGGUGAAAAACCUGCUUAGACAGAGAUCUUUCACCUAGGAAGACAAGGAAAGCCAAUACUUUGACCUUCUAACUUCUUGACUGAAAUAAGGUCAGCCAUGGCUAUAAAGAAGAAAGAUUGAACAAAGACAGUAGCUUGUUAAGCCUUAGCCACUAGAAGGCAUAUUUUACUUUCAUUCGCUGUCUUUAUCGUUUGUACUUGAAAUAAUUUUAACCUACCUCUUUUUGAAUAAAUAAAUUUUGUUUUACUUUUAAUCUAAACCAACCCAGUGCUGUGUUUGAAUUGAAGUGAUGAACACUAGUUAAAGUAAUAAGCUGAGCUUUUAUCUCUUCAAAGGCACAACAAACCUUAUUGACUUCUCUUCAUGUUCUGGUAGAGGGCUGGACACUUCAUGGCAGAUGCCUGUGAGGAAAUUUGGGGUUGGGAGUGUGUUCGAGUCACCCUGCAAGUAGUAACCCAGGCUUGUGGAGACCAAGGAGGGGUUGUGGUGUAGUAGGCAGGCUGCUGGGGACAGAGUGCUGAAUCCAGGCUGCACAGCACACAGAUACUCCAGGAACUGUAUGCUUGGCUGCUGAGUGUUGGUGCCCAGGCUGUGAGCCAUAGCAGCAGAGCAUUUAAGGCAUGCAAGAUUACAGGCCAGGCAGUGACACAACUUCUCACUGCACCCAGAGGAGUGAAUACAUAUCCAUGACAUCCUACAAGCCUUUGGGUGUGGAAGAGCACUUGCUGGGAUUUCUCACAGAGAAAGGAGAGGAGCCAUUUGAGAGCAAAUAUAUCAAGAGGCACCUGAUAACUCUAAAAGAAUAAAGCGUUCACUUUCCUCCCCAACCAGGAGAUCAGCCCACCACUACCACCAGCACCACACCACGACCUUGGAACCAGGUUACUUUGGAGUCAAAGAAAUAGGUCGACUUCAUAUACCAUCAGAAUUCUAUUGCAAGACUUCUUCUAUUGCAAGAAGGUCAAGAGAUGGGAUGAGAUAGGGUGAUUGCAAUAUUUUGUGUUCUGCUUUUCAGAUUAUGAUAUUCUAGUUGGAGGAAUGUGCCUCUGCAGUCUCCAUUUCUACCACACCAGUAGAGACUAAACCACAUCUGGUACUCAAAUGAUGUAAUGCAAAGAGCAACUGUAUCUGUCCCUGGAUGAACAAUGGCAUAGUGGAGAACUGCAAUUUGCUGAGAAAUUGAAUUCAAAAUCAUUUUCAAAUUAAUAUUAAUCUUCCCCCUCUCGCUCCCUUUUGCGUGUUCCCUGGAAUUUUGCUUUGACUGGGAACCAAAAGUUGAUGAAAAAAUCUUCACUUCUCAUGUUUGCAUCCUGCAAAUGUUAUGUCUUAAAUACUUCUUUUUCCACAUGACUUCAUGUGCUAGCAAUUUGACUUAAUGAGUAGCUGCAAUAAAUGUACAGUAUGGAAAUGUUGUUACAAGUCUGCUAGAGCAUUCCCAUGCUUAAGCAAAGCAUUGCGUUGAAAGAGAUGUAAAAUAUAUAAUUACUCUGAGGCCUUGAACAAAAUCCUGGUUCUUAGUUCACUCUUACCCUUUUUUUGGACAGUGUGAGUAAACCUUAAUUAUGCCUUGUUUUUAAAGAGAAUUGCUGAGGGCCUGUACAUCUGGACUUUGCUUUCCCUAUCAUCAUCUAUGGAUAUGUUCAAGCUAUUAAAAUGAACACAAUUCACUGCAUAUUGUUUAUUUUAGUUGAAACCCUGCCAAGUUCCUUACCUAAUGAUGUAUUUAAAAGAUCUCACAUAAGCAUAUUGGUAAUUUUAUUUGGAAAUUCAAUUUAGCGGAUGCAGCAAACAAGAUGAACCCAGAAUUAAAUGUGAUUAGAUUUCCUCUCCUGAAUAUUUACAAAUUUUAGAUGUUAAAUCUGCCUUCCAAUCCCCUUCAAUGUCAGCCUUUUGCCAGUUUGUUUCUCAUUGCUUAGAAGAGCAGAAAAUCAUGGGUGUGACUGAAAUGUGGAUUUUGCAGUUAUUGUUGCUUUUCUCAGAACUGAAGCAUUCAGGUUUUUUUUUUUAAAUGGUUAAUGAAUAAAUUCUGUGCUGACUUAUACCCUA